CGCAUCUGUGCAUGCAGCAUAUCAAUAAGCGGAGAAAAGAAACUAACAAGGAUUCCCUUAGUAACGGCGAGUGAAGCGGGAAGAGCUCAAAUUUGAAAUCUUCAAGGUUUUACCUUGACGAAUUGUAGUUUAAAGAAGUGUUUUCUGUUGAAGUUUUGGUAAAAGUUCUUUGGAAUAGGACAUCAUAGAGGGUGAGAAUCCCGUAUUUGACCAUUAUUUUCAGCUGUGUGAUACACUUUCAAAGAGUCGGAUUGUUUGAGAAUGCAGUCCAAAAUGGGUGGUAAAUUUCAUCUAAAGCUAAAUAUUGGCGAGAGACCGAUAGCGAACAAGUACCGUGAGGGAAAGAUGAAAAGAACUUUGAAAAGAGAGUUAAACAGUACGUGAAAUUGUCAAAAGGGAAGCGUUUGACACCAGUGUUGUUUUCUCGAAAAUCAAUUAAAAAGGGUUAGAUUUUGUUGUGUAUUGACCUUAACAGCUUGCAUUUCAAUUUUCUUGCUUUUUUUAAUGCACUUUUCGUUUAACAAGUCAACGUCAGUUUCUUUUGUUGUAAAAAGGUCAUUGGAAGGUGGCUUUCUUUUCGGAGAAAGUGUUUAUAGCCUUUGACUCCUGCAAUCGGAGAGACUGAGGUCUGCAGCGUAGAUCCUUCGGGGUUAGAUACAUUUGUGCUAAGUUAUAGCUUUUAUAGACAACUUGUUGACUAUGAUUAGUCUUGUAGCUUACUCGCUUAUGCUAUUUUACCUACGCUUAGGAUGUUGAUCUGUAGUGCGUGCG
rnacentral:rRNA from 1 species